GCGGAGGAAAAGAAACCAACUGGGAUUGCCCUAGUAACGGCGAGUGAAGCGGCAAUAGCUCAAAUUUGAAAUCUGGCUCCUUUUAGGGGUCCGAGUUGUAAUUUGCAGAGGGUGCUUUGGCGUUGGUAGCGGUCUAAGUUCCUUGGAACAGGACAUCGCAGAGGGUGAGAAUCCCGUUUGUGGUCGCAUGCCUUCGCCGUGUAAAGCCCCUUCGACGAGUCGAGUUGUUUGGGAAUGCAGCUCUAAAUGGGAGGUAAAUUUCUUCUAAAGCUAAAUACUGGCCAGAGACCGAUAGCGCACAAGUAGAGUGAUCGAAAGAUGAAAAGCACUUUGGAAAGAGAGUCAAACAGCACGUGAAAUUGUUGAAAGGGAAGCGCUUGCAGCCAGACUUGCCCGUAGUUGCUCACCUAGGCUUUUGCCUGGGGCAUUCUUCUGCGGGCAGGCCAGCAUCAGUUUGGGCGGUCGGAUAAAGGUCUCUGUCAUGUAGCUUCCUUCGGGAAGAACUUAUAGGGGAGACGAAAUGCGACCAGCCUGGACUGAGGUCCGCGCAUCUGCUAGGAUGCUGGCGUAAUGGCUGUAAGCGGCCCGUCUUGAAACACGGACCAAGGAGUCUAACAUCUAUGCGAGUGUUUGGGUGUCAAGCCCGAACGCGUAAUGAAAGUGAACGGAGGUGGGAACCCUUUGGGUGCACCAUCGACCGAUCCUGAUGUCUUCGGAUGGAUUUGAGUAAGAGCAUAGCUGUUGGGACCCGAAAGAUGGUGAACUAUGCUUGAAUAGGGUGAAGCCAGAGGAAACUCUGGUGGAGGCUCGCAGCGGUUCUGACGUGCAAAUCGAUCGUCAAAUUUGGGCAUAGGGGCGAAAGACUAAUCGAACUAUCUAGUAGCUGGUCCU
rnacentral:rRNA from 1 species